rnacentral:rRNA from 1 species
AUUGAACGCUGGCGGCAUGCUUUACACAUGCAAGUCGAACGGCAGCGCGGGCUUCGGCCUGGCGGCGAGUGGCGAACGGGUGAGUAAUGCAUCGGAACGUGCCCAGUAGUGGGGGAUAGCCCGGCGAAAGCCGGAUUAAUACCGCAUACGACCUGAGGGUGAAAGCGGGGGACCGAAAGGCCUCGCGCUCUUGGAGCUUCCGAUGUCGGAUUAGCUAGUUGGUGGGGUAAAGGCUUACCAAGGCGACGAUCCGUAGCUGGUCUGAGAGGACGACCAGCCACACUGGGACUGAGACACGGCCCAGACUCCUACGGGAGGCAGCAGUGGGGAAUUUUGGACAAUGGGGGCAACCCUGAUCCAGCCAUGCCGCGUGCGGGAAGAAGGCCUUCGGGUUGUAAAGCGCUUUUGUUCGGGAAGAAAUCCUCUGGGCUAAUACCCCGGGGGGAUGACGGUACCGGAAGAAUAAGCACCGGCUAACUACGUG